GAUGAACGCUGGCGGCGUGCCUAACACAUGCAAGUCGAACGGCAAGACGCUGAGCGUUCUCCCCUACCGUUAGCGGGGGGCGGGUGAGUAACGCGUGCAUACCCUACCUAUUUGACUUGGCUAACUACGUGAUGCCACUUCUGCUACUGCCUCAUAUAUUCAACGGCAGGGUUCAAUAGUUCAUGACGGUUUUGCUGUACCUUAGAGCUGGAUCCGCGUCGUAUUAGCUAGUUGGUAGGGUAACGGCUUACCAAGGCGACGAUGCGUAGCUGACCUGAGAGGGUGAUCAGCCCCACUGGAACUGAGACACGGUCCAGACUCCGACGGGAGGCAGCAGUAGGGAAUCUUGGACAAUGGGCGAAAGCCUGAUCGAGCAACGCAGCGUGGGUGAAGAAGGGCUUCGGGUCGUAAAACCCUGUUGUUGGGGAAGAACAAUUGCAGAAUAAACCACGCCUGUUGUGACGGUACCUAAAGAAAAAGCACCGGCUAACUACGUG
rnacentral:rRNA from 1 species